GCAGAAGAAGAGAUCAUCUAUGCACCAACCCAAAACAAUAAUGGCUUCUCCUAAUGCACAAGUUUUAUUUCUCAUUAUUCUAUUUAUUUUGUACUUUUAUAACACGAGAUGCUUUUCAGUUUUGUAGCUGAUUGUGACCAAAUACCUUUUGUUUUUUAUCAACCCUACAAAAAAAAAAAUAUGGCCUGUGCUUAAUACGCUAAAGGAGGCUGCACUGUACCAACUACCUCAGUGGGGACUAAAUGCCACUAGGUGGAACAAACUGUAAUUUGCACUACUGUCUGUUCAAAAUAAAUGGAAAGAAGCCUAGCAUUUGGGAUUUUUCCUGUUGUACCGAACUCGUAUCGAACCGUGACCCCAAAACCGAGCCAUGGCCAUGACUGGGAAGCCGAUGGCAGACGAGAGAAUCCAUACACAGAUGUUGAUGAUCUUUGCCUUGACGGGUGUGCGAAAGUCCAGAGCUCUUACUGGGUGGCACACGGCAAUGUAACGAUCCACACUCAUCAUUGUCAGCGUGAAAAUACUGUGCGUCAUCUGCACCUGGGUUUGCAAUGAAGAUAUGAGCUUACAUAAAUUAUGAAUGCAUAUGCAGAUGAAUGGGAUACACUGAUUGUACAUGAUUUGAAUCUCCUCUUGGCUUCACCCUUUUCAUUAUGAAUAUCACAUAUGAUAAACAAAGUUCAUGAUCUACUCCAAAAAUAAAAAAAAAUUAAAAAAAAACAUAUGUGCUCAUUUAAUACUCUUCCACCCUGUAAUGUUCCAGGUUAAGUACAAGUUACCCUCAAUUGAGAGCAUUUGUGGCAUAAUGUUGAUCACCAAAGAAAAUAAUUUUGACUCGUCCCUCGUUUAAAAAAAAGAAUAAUAAUAAUAAAAAAAAAAAGCAAAUAUUGUGGUUACAGUGAGGCACUGGAACCAUACAAUGGAAGUGAAUGGGGCCAGCCCAUAAACAUAAAAAAAAAAUAAAAAAUACUGUUUCAAAAGAAUAGUCACAAGACAAAUAUUAUAGAUGCUAACAUGAUUUUAGUGUGAUGAAAUCUCUGUUCUAAAUUAUUUUAUUGUGAGUAAAUUCCUUACAUGGUUUACCAAGGUUACAGUGUCAUAGCAACGAAGGUUUAGUUUUGGGUAUACCUUCACACAAAUAAGGUUAGUAAGCAAUUUUAUCACACUAAAGUCAUGUUAGCAUGUAUAAUAUUUACAACUUUUGGCUAUACUUUUGAAACAGUGUGUAUUUUCAUGUUUAUGGACUGGCUCCAUUCACUUCCAUGAUAAGUGUCCUCCUGCAAUGAAAAGUUUUUUUAUUUUUUAUUCUUUUAUAAACGAGGGACAACUAAAAAUUAUUUUUAAAUAUUUGUUAUGCCACAAAUUCUGUAGAUUGAUUUUACCUUGUAUUGAAACUGGGACAUUCCUUUAAUUUCAGUAAUUAAAUCUGCAAUAAUCUGAAAUUGUGACAAAUAUAUGACAUGAAUUGGUACAUUUAUAAUUUUCCUGAUUCCACUGAUUUGUUAGAAAUGUAAAUGUAAGGGGGCCUGGGUAGCUCAGUGGUAAAAUACGCUGGCUACCACCCCUGGAGUUCGCUAGUUCGAAUCCCAGGGCAUGCUGAGUGAAUCCAGCCAGGUCUCGUAAGCAACCAAAUUGGCUAGGUAGGGUAGAGUCACAUGGGGUAACCUCCUCGUGGUCGCCAUAAUGUGGUUUGUUCUCGGUGGGGCGCAUGGUGAAUUGAGCGUGGUUGCCGCUAUGUCUCCGUGGCAACGUGCUCAACAAGCCACGUGAUAAGAUGCGCGGGUUGACUGUCUCAGACGCAGAGGCAACUCCGCCAUAGAUUGGGCAUUCCAAAUUGGAAGAAAAAGGGGAAAAAUCCCCCCAAAAAAAGAAAUGUAAAAAUGUAAUUUUUGGUUUCAGUAGUUCAUUUGUUACCUUCGUUGAACAGUAUUGCACAGUAGACGUUUCCCAUGCAGUAGUCAUUGUUUUCAAAAUGCAUUGCUUUCAAAACUUAUCUCGCUCAGUUUUUAUUUUUAAAGAUGCUGUAAGAAAUGUAUAUAAUAAUAGCAGAAUAGCAGAAAUAUAUAUAAUAAACAUACAUAUAUACAUUUUAUGUGUGGAAUUCCAAAAAAUUACACAGCAGCUUUUCAAAUAAACAUCUGUCUCAUUUGUAAUCUAUCCAUUCGUAACAACAUUAAAUUAAGGUGACUCAAGUGUCUCUCUGUGAUAUCAUGCAAUAAUCAGCUCAUAAUCAUCUCAUAAUCAAUCAUUUUCUGGGAGCCAUCUCAUAUGAAUAAUGGGGCAUAAAAGGAUGCAACAACACCAUGGUGAUUAAAGAAAAGACCCUGUAAACCAAUGCUAAAUGCAUAAAUUAUAAUCCAUUGAUUGUCCUCUCAAAGCUUUAGAGAUUUGUCUGGUGCCUGCACACUGUGAUUUCUAUUGAGGACUUGGCAUUUGAAGUCUCACAGAGCUUAAGAGAGAAGACAGAAUAUCCAUUAGUGACACUACAUUUUAUUGCUCUCUUUGUACAAGGCCAUAAGUGCAGUAAGAAGAAGAAAUCCAUUAUUCUGUCUUCCAUUAAGUCUUUCAUGCUGUGUGUAUAACAUGUUUUGUUGCAUAUCCAUGACUCAUGUUUGUAUUCCUAAUUUUACACUAGUCCCACUUUCAUAGGGAAAUGCUGGUUUGCUAUGUGUUGUCGAAGUGUACUCUAUUUAGUGAUGCCAUCCAUCACUUUUUUCACACCAUUUUGUUGCAUUAAGGGAAUAUAUCUCUGGAAAGGUGUAUUUUAGGUAAAUAAAAUCAUGUUCGUAUCAUUAUUGAGUGGUCCCUUUUUAUUUAGCGCUGAAUAGCUUGAAUGGGUUUUUGUCAUGUAUCUUGUUAUAUGUUUAUUAUUGAAAAAGGCAAGAAAUAUACUGUCUCUACACUUUAAAAAGUGUUAACCUUCUAUUGUUACCUUAUGGAGCUAUUUCUACCUGAUAUGACCCUUAGAAAUUCGUUUUAUUGGUGUAACCUAAUGUAGUCAGUUUGAUUUAGUCAUAAUCAUAUUACUGACUUGAAUAAAACUAAUUAAUUUAGAUGUUACAACAUGAAGCGCUUUUUAGGUAAUUUUUUUUUUUAGUCUUGUCUUUAUUCAGUCUAAUUUUCAUACUGUAAGUAAAGCACUUUGCCAACUUUUUGAGGAUCAAUGAAUAAAAAUGAGAGGAGAACUUUGAGUUGCAAUGUAAAAUCUAUUCAUAUCAUGUUCUUAUUUCUAAUCAAAACUUUAAGGAGAAUUGUUAAUGAGCUUAUUUCAUAUUGAACAAUUUCUCCCUUGGAGGCUGCAGCGGUUGGUGUGCUUCUGCUCCUUUCUUUUUCCUCCUUUACUUUUAUCUUCAUAGCUUAAAAUGUACCAUUUAUUUUUGAAAUAUCCCUAUAAUGGAGAAGGCAUCUGUGAAAGGUAGACAAACCAGACAUAUGAUGAGCCCAUUCAGUCUGUUCCUCUUAGGCAACAGCUUUGAAAUCUUGAUGAUUCACUACAUAAUAUGAAAUGCAUUGUGAAUGGAUACGCAAGAUGUGAUCUAGCUGAAUGAAUUGUAAUGGUUCUGUGCUCUAAACCACUUUUAGGGAGUAGAUCAAAGGCUCUCAGCUAGUUCAGUGUUGUCUACUUUAAAAAAUUUAUAUUUCUCCACAUUUUUGUGCGUUGGAGACACUUUUCAGUUUUGUCUAAUAAAGAGUUGAUAAGAGGAGGGUUUUGGUCUCUUUGGGAUAAUCUUGAUUAUUUAUUUGUUUUGUUUUAUAUAGCAAGUACUGUAUGUCUUGAAACUGUGGACUACAUACACUCACUGAGCACUUUAUUAGGAACACUAUGGUCUUAAUAAAGUGCCCAACAUGGUCUUCUGCUGU